GACGAACGCUGGCGGCGUGCUUAACACAUGCAAGUCGAGCGAGAGAAAUUCCUUCGGGAAGGACUCUAGCGGCGGACGGGUGAGUAACACGUGGGUAACUUGCCUCAUAGAGGGGAAUAGCCUUUCGAAAGGAAGAUUAAUACCGCAUAAGAUUGUAGUAUCGCAUGAUGCAGCAAUUAAAGGAGUAAUCCGCUAUGAGAUGGACCCGCGUCGCAUUAGCUAGUUGGUGAGGUAACGGCUCACCAAGGCGACGAUGCGUAGCCGACCUGAGAGGGUGAUCGGCCACAUUGGGACUGAUACACGGCCCAGACUCCUACGGGAGGCAGCAGUGGGGAAUAUUGCACAAUGGGGGAAACCCUGAUGCAGCAACGCCGCGUGAGUGAUGACGGUCUUCGGAUUGUAAAACUCUGUCUUCAGGGACGAUAAUGACGGUACCUGAGGAGGAAGCCACGGCUAACUACGUGCCAGCCGCCGCGGUAA
rnacentral:rRNA from 1 species